ensembl:lncRNA
CGCAAGGAUAACGUCCUGCCCCCCCUCCCUUCCCAUCGCCCUCCCCUAACCCCCCGGUCGGUCCCAGCGAGCCGCAACUUCUUGCUCCCGAGCGGGCUCGCUUUUGGCGUGUCAGCCCGCACAAUGCGGGGCUAAUUCCUGCUGCAAAAGGGAAAACAGUUUGGCUCCAUUGUCGGGUUGCCAAGACCGCCUUUUGAGAAAGGGAGCCCGGCUCGCCUCUGAUCAAACUCAAAGGCACCAAAAUGACAUUUUCUCCCAGGACCCUAAUGCACGUUCACACCGUCUCUGGGUGCCUUCAGCCUUUCCCUGCACUCUCCUGCAAUGCUCUAUGUGGCCACACAGAUGAACCCAAAACUUUCACGUAAUCCUCACAGAUUUUGCAUGUUCAAUGGUUUGAAGUUGGAACUGAGCAUCCAGGUAAAGUUCCAGACAUAAAUGCCCACGGAUGAGCCUUGCAGAGCCUUGUGAUGUCUUCUGCCAAAUUUUUGCUUUGUUCUCCUCCACUUCUUUGGCCUAAGUUCUGUCUGGGGCCAUGGCAGCUUCAGAGCUACACCUUGAACGAGCAUCUAGGGUAAAUACACUGCUACAUAAGUCUUCAUCGAGGCACUUUCACCACCCUCACCACUAUGGUGAAGGGUGGAGACCUGCAAGCCAAGGCAAAGGCACAGUCCUCACUUUCAGAACCCAAACUCCCCUGGACUUCACCAAAGAUUUAGGGCCUACCUUUUACAGGUAUGAUGGUGAGAAUGAUGGACAACUUUUCCUGCUUCUGAGGUCAGCGAACCUGUUGAAGAUGGUUAAAAAUGCUGGUGAUUGCUUCUGACGUAGGGGAAAGAGGGAAGGAGUGGACCUGAAGUAUCACAGAAUGCAACACAAGGGACAGGAGUAGAAAGUCACAGUAAUCAGGGAAGAGAGGAAGGCUCCCCACAAAUCAGCCAUGCCACUCAUUGCUGAACGGGGCACCAGCACAGAGCAGGGAUAUUGAGGAGUAAAUCAGGGGCACAGUGAAUUGGCAUCAGUACGCAGACACCUCCAAGGCCCUGAUAGUGCCAGC